GAUGAACGCUGGCGGCGUGCCUAAUACAUGCAAGUCGAGCGAACAGUCGAGGUGCUUGCUCCGCUGAGGUUAGCAGCGGACGGGUGAGUGACACGUGGAUAACCUAAAUAGCUGACUGGGAUUACUUAGGGAAACCGGAGCUAGGAGCGGAUGAUAUAUUGAACCUCAUGGGUCAAUCGUGUAAGAUGGUUUUGCUGUCACGUCAAGAUGGAUCCGCGCCGCAGUAGCUUAGUGGGACGGUAACGGCUUACCAAGGCAACGAUGCGUAGCCGACCAGAGAGGUGGACCGUCCACACUGGAAGAGAGACACCGGCCAGACUCCGACGGGGAGCAGCCGCAGGGAAUCUUCCGCGAUGGGCGAAGGCCUGACGGAGCAACGCGGCGUGAGUGAUGAAGGUCUUCCGAUCGGAAAACUCUGUUAUUACGGAAGAACAAAUGUGUAAGUAACUGUGCACGUAUUGACGGUACCUAAUCAGAAAGCCACGGCUAACUACGUG
rnacentral:rRNA from 1 species